ACUCCUGCGGGAGGCAGCAGUGAGGAAUAUUGGACAAUGGGUGGAAGCCUGAUCCAGCCAUCCCGCGUGCAGGAAGACGGCCCUAUGGGUUGUAAACUGCUUUUAUCUGGGGAUAAACCUACUUACGUGUAAGUAGCUGAAGGUACCAGAAGAAUAAGCACCGGCUAACUCCGUGCCAGCAGCCGCGGUAAUACGGAGGGUGCAAGCGUUAUCCGGAUUUAUUGGGUUUAAAGGGUCCGUAGGCGGACUGAUAAGUCAGUGGUGAAAUCCGACAGCUUAACUGUCGAACUGCCAUUGAUACUGUUAGUCUUGAGUAAGGUUGAAGUGGCUGGAAUAAGUAGUGUAGCGGUGAAAUGCAUAGAUAUUACUUAGAACACCAAUUGCGAAGGCAGGUCACUAAGUCUUAACUGACGCUGAUGGACGAAAGCGUGGGGAGCGAACAGGAUUAGAAACCCUUGUAGACCCAUGA
rnacentral:rRNA from 1 species